UAUUGAUCAAGUGUAAUAAGAUGUACAUUUUUAUACUUGAGAGUUCCAUUUCAUCUCUCGCUUUCAUGCUCAGGUGAGUUGAUCAUCAAGAUGAAAAUAGGAGAGGGGACAGAGAAGUUAUCUUCUAUGGUCACCUCUUCUUGUGAUCCACUGGGUGAUGAGUUAUUGCAAGGUCAGUGGUCCAGGGAAGAGACGGAUCACAAGGGUAUUGAAAAGUGAUUAGAUUUAUAUGGAAGCAUGGAUGAGAGUGAAUUUAUAGACAGUAUGGAUAUGGGUGAGGAGUGGAUUGGAUAGGUUAGUCAACUGCAAAAUACGAGUGAAAAUUGUGAUAAAUUAUUUGUAUCAACAAAUUCUUGUGAAUCUGCAGAAAAUAAGAAUAGUGAACUAGUUGGGAAAGAAAUUGAAAGCUUUGGGAUUAGUGGCGGUUCAUUGGAAAUCAGAUCUAUGGGGAUUGAUGAUGGUUUGGAGUUGUUUUUUUUUUUUUUUACCCUCCCUAGGCGCUCCCACCCUUUUUGCUCCCUUGGUGACUCGAAUUUGCAACAUUCGGAUUGGAAGUGAGGAGUGUUUACCAUCCGAGCAACUUUCUCUCGUCAUUUGGAGUUGUUUAGAGAUGUUAAAACCAUGGGAGGGAGUUUGGAAGGAUCAGGCAUGCAAUCUGGUGUAGAAAUCGGUGGAGGUGAGUUUGUAAGAUGUUCUAAUGAAAGUGUGACAUCAUCAAAAUUUGAGCAUUCAGAUGGCGAGGACUCAAUGUUUUGAGGAAGCACUAAUGAUGAGAAGAACAUUAAUUCUUAUUAUGGAAGAGAGUUACAACGUUCUCUUGAAGAAAAUGACAAGGAUGAAAAUAAGUUGGUUAUGGGUUCGGCAAUAGCCUUUGGUUCAGACGAUUGGAACGAUUUUGUCACGCUCCGAGCCUACACCCUGGGCGGGACUGGCACUCGAAGACCAUUGUUGGCCUCAAGCGAACCCUUGGUCUGGCUUACUGACUCGGCGGAAGACUCUAAGCAUUAUUACAAUGAUCAAAUGAACUUGCUCAAAUAGCUUAAUAAAAUAACUUGGAAUGUUUAAAAGUCAAACAUUCAACUUGGUCAAAAUGGCAACUCAAGUCUUAACAUCUGAAAGAUAAUGUAAGGACAACUGACUGCUAACUGUCUAUGAAGCCUCUAAAACAAAGAGGGAUGUCGAGACAGGACCCCUGAUCAUCCUAACAUCUGAAAGACUAGAAAGCAAAUAAAAGGAGUCAUCCGGAAUGCAAGAAGGCUCACCAACAAACCCUUGAGUGCUCAAACUGGAUCAACGAGACGUUGGGUGCUGAUCCUGGUUACCUGCGUCUGCAUCAUAAUACGAGUAAGGGGCUUGUGGUACUCAAUUUAGACCGGAGCUAGAGGGAAAUAUAAGUAGGGGCAACCACAGUGAGAGCAGUGUGGGGAAUCUCUCCUUGGCCUUGCCAGGAAAGAAGGCAGACCUCAGUAAGGGGCUUUUUUCUAGAGUAUUCUCGAAGGUAAGAUCACUGAAGUCUAGUGAGGGUGGAGAACAGCGGCCUGAAGAUAAGAGUACUGUUAUUGUAAUGGGCUCAUUGCCUCUGGCCAACCUCUGAAUACCUGUACAUAUAUUCAUCCUUGUAUUUUGCGUUGCAAGAAAAUCAUGUGAAUUGAAGCUUGUGCUUUAGCUAAGACCUGUAAGAAUUGCUUAUUCAUUCCCUGUUUGUGUCUCUCCAUCUUAUUUGGUCCUUUUGUAUUUUCCUUCAUUUGACUUGUAUUCUUUUGUAAUAAUGUUUCAGAAACAAGGGUGAUUUUUUCUUCU